GACUCUCUUCGCACACGACGUUCCACCGACCUAUUGGAUCCAGAAUAACAUAGUACCACCUCGCCUAUCGACCCAAAAACGCAUAGAAGGGGAGGACUAUAUAUGGAGACCCCCUCUGGCCCCUGGAGGAGACAAGAAAUUAUCAUAGAGAUUGAGGGGUGCCCUCGAAGGAAAACCUCUUCUCUAAAUAAUAUUUCUUUUUAGGCUUAGCAACCAAUGUAAAGUAGAAAUAGAUCUUCUAGUUUCUACUAGAUU
rnacentral:lncRNA from 1 species